rnacentral:rRNA from 1 species
UACGGGAGGCAGCAGUGGGGAAUAUUGCACAAUGGGCGCAAGCCUGAUGCAGCCAUGCCGCGUGUAUGAAGAAGGCCUUCGGGUUGUAAAGUACUUUCAGUCGUGAGGAAGGUGUUAAGGUUAAUAACCUUAGCAAUUGACGUUAGCGACAGAAGAAGCACCGGCUAACUCCGUGCCAGCAGCCGCGGUAAUACGGAGGGUGCGAGCGUUAAUCGGAAUUACUGGGCGUAAAGGGCACGCAGGCGGUUAAUUAAGUUGGAUGUGAAAUCCCCGGGCUUAACCUGGGAAUGGCAUUCAAGACUGGUUAGCUAGAGUCUUGUAGAGGGGGUAGAAUUCCAUGUGUAGCGGUGAAAUGCGUAGAGAUGUGGAGGAAUACCGGUGGCGAAGGCGGCCCCUGGACAAAGACUGACGCUCAUGUGCGAAAGCGUGGGGAGCAAAC